GUGCCUGUAGCUCAGUCGGUAGAGCAUCUGCCUUUUAAGCCGAGUGUCAUGGGUUCGAAUCCCAUCGGGCACA